CUCUCCCCCUAUUUCUCCUUCCCUUUUCUUUCCUUUUUUCCAUCGCUUAGACAAAAAACCCCAUUAUCGUCUUCCUCUUUUCUCCAUUUCUCCUUCCAACCAGCGCCAACAGUCGCAAUCCCAAAAAAAAUCCAACCGAAGCCCCGUCGACGCUCAUUUCCAUACAAACGACCAUCACUGACCAACGAAUGAUCCCCCCAGUGAAGCCGAACUUGUGCCAGCCACCACUGACCAGCGAAACCCGCUCCGAAUUUAUGACUUGAACUCAAAAUUGGUGAUGGAUUUUAAAUGGAAACAAGCUUCAUGGAUCAAUCCCUACAUCACUUGUCAACCUACAAUCACUUUCUUAUUUAGAUCUUUCUGCCAACUCCUUGAGUAGGAACUUGCCACCAUUUUCAGAUGAAGUCUGUACAAUACAUCCAAAUGAUGCGGCUAGUGGACCCAUUUCGCCCAUGGAUGCAAGGAGACCACAUGAUUAUAGUGAUCCUAAUGAUAGUCGUUGAUUUCGUUGCAAAUUGUCUUGAAUAUUCAAUUAGAUGAUGUAAUUGUGUGGUUG